CAGAAAGGCGAUGUUGUCGAAUUGAGUCCGGCGGUCGGUAGCGGUUUCGACAUGGAUCUAAUCUCCCCACCGGAGAAAUAUCAAACGGUGCUCAUCUUCGCUACAUGAUCUGGAAUCAGUAAUCAAGAACUGAUGCAGGUGAAUUUAUCAACCUGCCAGCGUAAGAAGGAGCCCUUCCUCUCACUCCACGUAAUUAAGCUCGUCAACUCUCUCUCUCUCUAGUCUGACGAGUAUGUGUCUUUUGUUGCAGACGGCGAUCUCAAGCUCUUCGAAUCAAGGGCCAUAACAAGAUACAUCGCGCACGCGUACGCCGACAAGGGAACACCGAUGAUCUUGGAGGAUCCAAAGAAGAUGGAAAUCAUCGGAGUUUGGUCCGAGGUGGAAUCUCAGAGAUUCGACGCGGAGGGGCAGAAGCUGAGCUUCGAGAUUCUGGUAAAGCCGAUGAAGGGGAUGACGUGGGACCCACUUCAAAAUAAAUAAAUAAAAGAAACGGUGUCAAACAGCCGUUAUCACUAUGAGUUUAAAUGCACUCUUAUUCUAUCUAGACUAUGGGAGAGAUUUUUGCACCAAGGUCGAGAAUGAGAGGGUCAACGCUCUAAGAGUGUCUAUUUCAGGAGUUCCGCACCUUAAGGGCCAGUUUGAUUUCCUUGUUAUGGUUGUAUUACUUCCUUUACUGGGCUAAAAUCGUGUUUGAUUUCCAAGUAAAUUAAACAAGCAAGCCCAUGUAAAGGGGCAGGCCCGGCGCUAAAUCCUCGUUUUCUCAAGGAAACACAACCGAUGCUCCCCCCUAGUUAGCUAAUAUGGAGUUUCAAGUUUCAUUUUUUUUUCACAAAAUUGCCCCCAAUUCAUCCAUCUCUCUCUUCUUCUUCCUCUUUGGAGAAUCACGCACACACACCAAAUCAGAACACUCAUACGCACAAGCGGCGCCGCCCCCUUCUCGGCGAGAGCAACCACCGGUCAGCCUCAGUACUUCCUCGACUUCCCCUCUCUUCGGCGAGCAGCAGCGAAAGCCGCCAUCACCGGUCUCCCCCCAUUUGUUACAGUCGGACAACAACAGCUUUUUUCUUCACCAUCGCGAAAUCUCACAAAUUGCUGUAACUUUGUUGAGGUAUCAAUUUAUGCAAAUUUCCACUCUCUUGAGGGAGAGUUCUUUGUGACAUUGAUUAUUGUUAAUGCAAACAAAUUUUGGAGCGGAGGAUUAAUCAAGGAAAAAAGAAGAAGAAAAAGAUAAAUACAUAAUAGUGGGUUGCUUGGUGGACGAGAGAUUUUUUAAUAUUUUCACUCUCUUGGGCGGUGAUGGUGGUGACUGGUGGGUGGGUGGUGAAAGGGUUUUUUUCUUUUUCUUUUUCUUUUUAAUUAUGAAAGGUUAAUAAAAUAGGAUUAAUUCAGUAAU